rnacentral:rRNA from 1 species
CAGCAGCCGCGGUAAUACAGAGGGUGCAAGCGUUAAUCGGAUUUACUGGGCGUAAAGGGCGCGUAGGUGGUUAUUUAAGUGAGAUGUGAAAUCCCCGGGCUUAACCUGGGAACUGCAUCUUAUACUGGGUAACUGGAGUGCAAUAGAGGGUAGUGGAAUUUCCGGUGUAGCGGUGAAAUGCGUAGAUAUCGGAAGGAACACCAGUGGCGAAGGCGGCUACCUGGAUUGACACUGACACUGAGGCGCGAGAGCGUGGGGAGCAAACAGGAUUAGAUACCCCAGUAGUCCCUGUCUCUUAUAC